rnacentral:rRNA from 1 species
UAGGGAAUCUUCGGCAAUGGGGGGAACCCUGACCGAGCAACGCCGCGUGAGUGAAGAAGGUUUUUGGAUCGUAAAGCUCUGUUGUUAAGGAAGAACGAGUGUGAGAAUGGAAAGUUCAUGCUGUGACGGUACUUAACCAGAAAGGGACGGCUAACUACGUGCCAGCAGCCGCGGUAAUACGUAGGUCCCGAGCGUUGUCCGAAUUUAUUGGGCGUAAAGCGAGCGCAGGCGGUUAGAAAAGUCUGAAGUGAAAGGCAGUGGCUCAACCAUUGUAGGCUUUGGAAACUGUUUAACUUGAGUGCAGAAGGGGAGAGUGGAAUUCCAUGUGUAGCGGUGAAAUGCGUAGAUAUAUGGAGGAACACCGGUGGCGAAAGCGGCUCUCUGGUCUGUAACUGACGCUGAGGCUCGAAAGCGUGGGGAGCGAACAGG